rnacentral:rRNA from 1 species
UACAGAGGGUGCAAGCGUUAAUCGGAUUUACUGGGCGUAAAGCGCACGUAGUCGGCUUUGCAAGUCGGUUGUGAAAUCCCCGGGCUCAACCUGGGAACUGCAUCCGAGACUGCAUUGCUAGAGUAUGGGAGAGGGAAGCGGAAUUUCUGGUGUAGCAGUGAAAUGCGUAGAUAUCAGAAGGAACAUCAGUGGCGAAGGCGGCUUCCUGGACCAAUACUGACGAUCAGGUGCGAAAGCGUGGGGAGCAAACAGG